rnacentral:rRNA from 1 species
GAACCUUUAAAUUUAAUACAACUUUCAGCAACGGAUCUCUUGGCUCUCGCAUCGAUGAAGAACGCAGCGAAAUGCGAUAAGUAAUGUGAAUUGCAGAAUUCAGUGAAUCAUCGAAUCUUUGAACGCACCUUGCGCUCCUUGGUAUUCCGAGGAGCAUGCCUGUUUGAGUGUCAUUAAAUUCUCAACCUCACCAGUUUUUACGAAUUGGCUGAUGGCUUGGAUGUGGGAGUUGCGGGCUUCUUUGAAGUCGGCUCUUCUUAAAUGCAUUAGUGGAGACUUGCAAUCGUCGCCUUGGUGUGAUAAUUAUCUGCGCCUUGGUGUAUGGUGGCUAAUUAAAUGUCUUUGCUUCUAACAGUCCAUUGACUUGGA